GGUCAAGUUAUUAAGGGUGCAGGGCGGAUGCCUUGGCACUAGGAGCCGAUGAAGGACGUGAUAAGCUGCGAUAAGCUUCGGGGAGUUGCACGUAAACUUUGAUCCGAAGAUUUCCGAAUGAGGAAACUCACUUAGAGUAAUGUCUAAGUAUCAUUAAGUGAAUACAUAGCUUAAUGAGGGGAACUCAGGGAACUGAAACAUCUAAGUACCUGAAGGAAGAGAAAGAAAUUCGAUUCCGUAAGUAGCGGCGAGCGAACGCGGAUUAGCCCAAACCAAUAAAGUUUUCUUUAUUGGGGUUGCGGACAUAUCAUAACGAAGAGGUAUCGUAAUUGAAGAGGUUUGGAAAGACCCACCACAGAAGGUAAUAGUCCUGUAUGUUAAACGAGAAGACUUUAGAUAUGAUCCAGAGUACCACGGGACACGUGAAACCCUGUGGGAAGCAGGAGGGACCACCCUCCAAGGCUAAAUACUACCUAGUGACCGAUAGCGUAUAGUACCGUGAGGGAAAGGUGAAAAGAACCCCGGGAGGGGAGUGAAAUAGAACCUGAAACCCUGCACUUACAAGCUGUGGAAGCACAUUUCUUGUGUGACCGCGUACUUUUUGUAGAACGGGCCAACGAGUUACGUUAAGUAGCAAGGUUAAGCACUUAAGGUGCGGAGCCGUAGCGAAAGCGAGUUUUAACUGAGCGUUCAGUUACUUGACGUAGACCCGAAACCGGGCGACCUACCCAUGAGCAGGAUGAAGCGAAAGUAAAAUUUCGUGGAGGUCCGAACCCACGAGCGUUGAAAAGCUCGGGGAUGACUUGUGGGUAGCGGUGAAAUUCCAAUCGAG
rnacentral:rRNA from 1 species